rnacentral:rRNA from 1 species
GACGAACCGUGCGAACGUUGUUCGGAAUCACUGGGCGUAAAGGGCGCGUAGGCGGCCUGCUAAGUCGAACGUGAAAUCCCCGAGCUCAACUCGGGAACUGCGUCCGAUACUGGCAGGCUUGAAUCCGGGAGAGGGAUGCGGAAUUCCAGGUGUAGCGGUGAAAUGCGUAGAUAUCUGGAGGAACACCGGUGGCGAAGGCGGCAUCCUGGACCGGCAUUGACGCUGAGGCGCGAAAGCUAGGGGAACAAACGGGG